UAAGAAGCCACUUGAAUUCUAGAAGCACAGGCACCUACUUUUUGCUUACUCAUGUUAUUUUUAGAUACCACGGUGAGAUAGCCUUUCGAAAACAAAUCCUGUUCUCAGCAUUCAUUGUUGGUGAUAGCUGUUCCUCGGAACAUCAUUUGCAUAGAGAGGAGACUUUGCAUAGCCAGCACAUGCUUCAGUGCUCUGGUAGUGUUUAUAGCCUUGUGAGUUUAACACUUCAUGACCGAGAGCUGUCCUUCAUGACAACAGAACCCACAACAACCAUGACUUUUAUCACCAUCUUCAUCUGGACACUUGCCCUCUGUCUCCAAGAGUCAAGAGGCCAGGUCACAGUGACCCAGACUCCUGCAGUGAAAGCUGUUUCAGUGGGUCACUCAGUCAGUCUCAGCUGUAAGACCAGCAGUGCUGUACACAUUAACAGCAAUGGACACUAUUUGCACUGGUAUCAACAGAAACCUGGAGGAGCUCCUAAACUCCUUAUUUACUAUGCUAAAACCCUUCAGUCUGGGAUUCCAUCUAGAUUCAGUGGCAGUGGAUCUGGGAGUGACUUCACUCUGACCAUCAGUGGAGUCCAGGCUGAAGAUGCAGGAGAUUACUACUGUCAGAGUUUCCACAAUCCCAACAGUGUCUGGGUGUUCACACAGUGAUACAGAGCCAUACAAAAACCUCCCUCAGUCAGACUGCACAGUGACUGUACUGAUACAGCUGGGACCUACUGCAGGUGCUGAAGAGGAAGAGACAGUGACAUGGAAGACUGAUCAGUAGAGGAGGUCAACUUUGAAAAUGGUUAGAAAGUAUCAUACAAAUCACACGUUCUCACAAACGUCAUCAUCGUCAUCAUGGUUGUAACUUGUUAUAUUGGACAUGAACUGAAAGUGUAUAUACAGUAAAAGUUAUUUGUAGUUUUGGAAGAUAAUAGCAGUCCAUAGUAGAGUAAGAUGUACAGAAGUAAGAGGAAAAGUAUCAGCCCCCUAAACCAUUUCCCUACAUGCACUUCACGACCAGUUAAUGAUGUGAUCAUCUGGCAUGUAUUAACCCUUUUCAUGAGCUGAUAGAUCUGUGAAUGAGACAUGAAGCUGGGCUCAAACAUGACACAUUGAUGUAGAGACAUACACUACACACUAUUAUCAGAAAGUAUAAUAUCCGUUGUGUCUGUCAUUAAUUACAUGAUGGUAUAUUUGUAAUGUCUCCCUCCCUGAAUCCACCAUAGAGGUUAAAACCAGUCACUCCCUCACAUCUGGCCCAGUCCAGGGUAUUUAAGGCAGUAAAACUGUUAGACUGGUAGCUGUGGGAGUGAAACAGAUUUACAUAGACAUGGCUGGUUGGUUCUGCUUGUCCCAGAAUAGAGCAGAACUCUCACCAGAUGUUCACCCUGUGCCCAGGGGGGUUGGAGGUAGAGAAGACCAGGGAAAAUGUAAUGGAAAAGCGUAGACCACACAUUGUUGAAAACCAUUGGAAAAAUAUCUAAUUUAAUCAAAUCAUAUUAGGAAUUAAACAUUACAAAUAUACAGUUGACGUCAGAAGUAUACAGACACCUUAGCCAACUAUAUUUAAAUACAGUUUUUCACAAUUCCUGACAUUUAAUCCUAGUAAUAAUUCCCUGUCUUAGGUCAGUUAGGAUCACCACUAUUUUAAGAAUGUCAAAUGUCAGAAUAAUAGUAGAGAGAAUGAUUUAUUUCAGCUUUUAUUUCUUUCAUCACAUUCCCGGUGGGUCAGAAGUUUACUUACACCCCAUUAGUAUUUGGUAGUGAAGGAGGUUCACCUAGGGGUCAUGAUAGGGGCUUACCAAAUGUUUGAAGUAUUAUAAUAAUUGAUUAUGCUUAUGUUGUAUUAAUAUACGGGGAGGGGUUAUAAGACCCCACCCUCCUUACAUUUAUAGGGUUCUAGACUACAGAUUAACAAUAUAUAUUCAUUAUAGAUGUUUAUAAUUGUUCCACCACUGUUUUCUGGUCUCUUUGCCUCUUAUAAAGAGACCUCUCUGAGAAAUGUGUCACUGUGAAGACAGAACUCUGCAGGGGAGUGUAAGAGAAGAGAUUAGUCAGACGUUCCAUUAUACAUCAACUUGGACAUUUACUGCUAAGCUUUUAGAUAGCUAUAUAAACAAGAGUUUUAGUGUUGAGUUGGCAUGGUUUUGGUCUCAUCAGUAGAAGAUAAUGAUGUGGUUAGUGACAUCACUCGGGCUGGACUUUGGGUUUAAUAAAAUAACUUGGGACCA